GAUGAACGCUGGCGGCGUGCCUAAUACAUGCAAGUAGAACGCUGAAGGAAGGAGCUUGCUCUUUCCGGAUGAGUUGCGCACGGGUGAGUAACGCGUAGGUAACCUGCCUGGUAGCGGGGGAUAACUAUUGGAAACGAUAGCUAAUACCGCAUAACAGUAGAUGUUGCAUGAUAUCUACUUAAAAGGUGCAAUUGCACCACUACCAGAUGGACCUGCGUUGUAUUAGCUAGUUGGUGAGGUAACGGCUCACCAAGGCGACGAUACAUAGCCGACCUGAGAGGGUGAGCGGCCACACUGAGACUGAGACACGGCCCAGACUCCUACGGGAGGCAGCAGUAGGGAAUCUUCGGCAAUGGGCGGAAGUCUGACCGAGCAACGCCGCGGGAGGGAAGAAGGUUUUCGGAUCGGAAAGCUCUGUUGUAAGAGAAGAACGAGUGUGAGAGUGGAAAGUUCACACUGUGACGGUAUCUUAUCAGAAAGGGACGGCUAACUACGUG
rnacentral:rRNA from 1 species